ensembl:lncRNA
AAAAACAUCAUCCAGACAAAGGACUGAAGUGGAUAAACUGUUGGGAACGUUGAGGAUUCAAGAAGCAGUCUGGCUCAAGACUCAGUCUUUUGUUUUACAAGGAGCUCCAUUACCGGAUCUCUUAAGGCUCACAGUCUACUUAUAAGUUGCUUGGUUCUCCAGAUUUGAUUCUUGGUGAACUUGACAAGUCUUCCUUGGGCCAGUACCCUACUGGGCUGGUGAUGGAUGGCAUCGAUGCAGACAUGGCAGGCACUGUAAGUCCAAUUCACUUCACCUUUUUCUCUGGAUAGCUAAGGUAAGGUGUACUAUUACUUAUUGAUCCAAUGUACUGAGGUUAUGCAUACACUAGCUCUUCCAAUAAUGCAAAUAUGUAGCUGGUGUUGAUGCUGUUAAUUAAUCAUAUUUAUUAUUUUAAUCUCAUUCAGGAACAUAGAAUCCAGCUGCGUAUGCAGAUGCCAGUCAGGCAAUGAAAUCCCCAGCCCUAAAAGGCAGAUCAAAGAUGGAUGGCUCUGUCUUGCAGAAAUCAUUGUGUAUACAUUUGCUGAUAAAUCCAGUGCUUUUUCUGCAUUGACCAGCAGCUUGAGACUCCUGUUCUUUCUCAUCUGUAGGUUGUAAAAGGCCAUUUUGACACUGCUUCCAAACAGCCUGUGAGCUGGUGAAACCUUGGCGGUCCAGGCCAGUGAAAGGACUACCCUGAAAUUAGGGAGAAGAAUGGAAAUGAGCCAAAAAGUUAAUAACAUCUUGGGCUUGUCUGUGUGGCCAUGGAGUGUCUUCUAGGGCUGCAUCAGCUAAGCAGGUCUUCAGGCUAGAUGAAGUGGAAUCUCUUCUCUUCAUUCCUGUGUGUCAAAAGCUGGUUCAAAGGUCAGAACUGAUGAACCUGAGGCAGAGCAGGACAAAGCCUGAAGCAGAAGCGGGAGCCAGAAGAACCUUUUGGAGUGAAGCCCAGCUCUGCAAGCCGUGAGAACACUAGCACUGGCAGCAUGAUGGGCAUGGGUGCUGACCCCUCCUUGUGACUCCAGCCCAGAGCUUUACAUCGAUUUUUAAAGCGUUUGAAAACACUGAAAGUCUCUCUGCACCUUGCUGCUAAUGAGAUUUCAAUGUAAGAUAAAAGGAACCGUGUCUAAC